CGAACGGGUGCGUAACACGUAUGCAACCUACCCUUCACAGGAGGACAGCCCCGAGAAAUCGGGAUUAAUACUCCAUAACAUCACGGAUUCGCAUGUUUCCGUGAUCAAAGUUCCGGCGGUGAAGGAUGGGCAUGCGGCCUAUUAGUUUGUUGGUGAGGUAACGGCUCACCAAGACUACGAUAGGUAGGGGGUCUGAGAGGAUGAUCCCCCACACUGGUACUGAGACACGGACCAGACUCCUACGGGAGGCAGCAGUGAGGAAUAUUGGUCAAUGGACGAAAGUCUGAACCAGCCAUGCCGCGUGCAGGAAGACUGCCCUACGGGUUGUAAACUGCUUUUAUGUGGGAAUAAACCCCUGGAUUCUUCCGGGGCUGAAGGUACCACACGAAUAAGGAUCGGCUAACUCCGUGCCAGCAGCCGCGGUAAUACGGAGGAUCCAAGCGUUAUCCGGAUUUAUUGGGUUUAAAGGGUCCGUAGGCGGGAUAUUAAGUCAGUGGUGAAAGCCUUCAGCUUAACUGGAGAAUUGCCAUUGAUACUGAUGUUCUUGAGUACACCUGAAGUGGGCGGAAUGUGUCAUGUAGCGGUGAAAUGCAUAGAUAUGACACAGAACACCGAUUGCGAAGGCAGCUCACUAAAGUGUAACUGACGCCGAGGGACGAAAGCGUGGGGAGCGAACAGGAUUAGAUACCCUGGUAGUCCACGCCGUAAACGAUGAUCAC
rnacentral:rRNA from 1 species